rnacentral:rRNA from 1 species
CCCCUAGAUGUUCUGGGCCGCACGCGCGCUACACUGAACAGUUCAACAAGUCUUAACCUUGGCCGAUAGGUCUGGGUAAUCUUUGAACGCUGUUCGUGAUUGGGAUAGACCUUUGCAAUUAUGGGUCUUCAACGAGGAAUUCCUAGUAAACGCAAGUCAUCAGCUUGCAUUGAUUACGUCCCCGCCCUUUGUACACACCGCCCGUCGCACCUACCGAUUGAAUGGUCCGGUGAAAUCUCGGGACGGCGGCUUGGUCGCUUGCGUCCGACUGCUGAAACUUGAUUAAACCAUAUCAUUUAGAGGAAGGUGAANUCGUAACA